GGUCUGGUGGUGUAGUUGGUCAUCACGUCAGUCUAACACACUGAAGGUCUCCGGUUCAAGUCCGGGCUAGAUCA
rnacentral:tRNA from 1 species